UACGGAGGGGGCUAGCGUUAUUCGGAAUUAUUGGGCGUAAAGGGCGUGUAGGCGGCUUCGUGUGUCCCAUGUGAAAGCCCUCAGCUCAACCGGGGAACUGCAUGGGAAACUGCGGAGCUUGAGUCCGGGAGAGGAUAGUGGAAUUCCCAGUGUAGCGGUGAAAUGCGUAGAUAUCUGGAGGAACACCAGAGGCGAAGGCGAAUCACUGGACUGCAACUGACGCUGAGGCGCGAAAGCUAGGGGAGCAAACAGG
rnacentral:rRNA from 1 species